rnacentral:rRNA from 1 species
GAUGAACGCUGACAGAAUGCUUAACACGUGCAAGUCAUUGGCGAAGCUGCGCUUGCGCAGUCUAGCCAAGGCGGACGGGUGAGUAACGCGUAAGGAACUUGCCCUGCAGACAGGGAUAACAGACGGAAACGACUGAUGACACCUGGUAUUGUCAGGCUGGCGCAUGCCGGCCUGAUGAAAGGAGACGCUGCAGGAGAGCCUUGCGUCCUAUUAGCUAGUUGGUGGGGUAACGGCCCACCAAGGCGAUGAUAGGUAGCCGGCCUGAGAGGGUGAACGGCCACAAGGGGACUGAGAUACGGCCCUUACUCCUACGGGAGGCAGCAGUGGGGAAUAUUGGACAAUGGGGGCAACCCUGAUCCAGCAAUUCUGUGUGCACGAAGAAGGUUUUCGGAUUGUAAAGUGCUUUCAGCAGGGAAGAAGAAAGUGACGGUACCUGCAGAAGAAGCGACGGCUAAAUACGUG